AUUGAACGCUGGCGGAAUGCUUUACACAUGCAAGUCGAACGGCAGCACGGACUUCGGUCUGGUGGCGAGUGGCGAACGGGUGAGUAAUGUAUCGGAACGUGCCCAGUCGUGGGGGAUAACGUAGUGAAAAUUACGCUAAUACCGCAUACGAUCUAUGGAUGAAAGCGGGGGAUCGCAAGACCUCGCGCGAUUGGAGCGGCCGAUAUCAGAUGAGGUAGUUGGUGGGGUAAAGGCCCACCAAGCCAACGAUCUGUAGCUGGUCUGAGAGGACGACCAGCCACACUGGAACUGAGACACGGUCCAGACUCCUACGGGAGGCAGCAGUGGGGAAUUUUGGACAAUGGGCGAAAGCCUGAUCCAGCCAUUCCGCGUGCAGGAUGAAGGCCCUCGGGUUGUAAACUGCUUUUGUACAGAGCGAAAAGGUUUCUACUAAUACUAGGAGCUCAUGACGGUACUGUAAGAAUAAGCACCGGCUAACUACGUGCCAGCCGCCGCGUAAA
rnacentral:rRNA from 1 species